rnacentral:rRNA from 1 species
GACGAACGCUGGCGGCGUGCCUAAUACAUGCAAGUUGAGCGAUGAAGAUUGGUGCUUGCACCAAUUUGAAGAGCAGCGAACGGGUGGGUAACGCGUGGGGAAUCUGCCUUUGAGCGGGGGACAACAUUUGGAAACGAAUGCUAAUACCGCAUAACAACUUUAAACAUAAGUUUUAAGUUUGAAAGAUGCAAUUGCAUCACUCAAAGAUGAUCCCGCGUUGUAUUAGCUAGUUGGUGAGGUAAAGGCUCACCAAGGCGAUGAUACAUAGCCGACCUGAGAGGGUGAUCGGCCACAUUGGGACUGAGACACGGCCCAAACUCCUACGGGAGGCAGCAGUAGGGAAUCUUCGGCAAUGGACGAAAGUCUGACCGAGCAACGCCGCGUGAGUGAAGAAGGUUGUCGGAUCGUAAAACUCUGUUGGUAGAGAAGAACGUUGGUGAGAGUGGAAAGCUCAUCAAGUGACGGUAACUACCCAGAAAGGGACGGCUAACUACGUG